rnacentral:rRNA from 1 species
UACGUAGGGUGCGAGCGUUAAUCGGAAUUACUGGGCGUAAAGCGUGCGCAGGCGGUUCGUUAAGUUCGUUGUGAAAGCCCCGGGCUCAACCUGGGAACUGCAAUGGAAACUGGCGGGCUUGAGUGUGGCAGAGGGGGGUGGAAUUCCGCGUGUAGCAGUGAAAUGCGUAGAGAUGCGGAGGAACACCGAUGGCGAAGGCAGCUCGCUGGGACGUGACUGACGCUGAGACGCGAAAGCGUGGGGAGCAAACAGG